rnacentral:rRNA from 1 species
ACGGCUCAGUAACACGUGGCUAACCUGCCCUUGGGAUAGGAACACCCCCGGGAAACUGGGGCUAAUUCUCAAUAGGCGAAGAACUCUGGAAUGAGUCUUCACUCAAAAGACACCUAAGUUAUGCUCUUAGGUUUCGCCCAAGGAUGGGGCCGCGACCGAUCAGGUUGUUGGUGAGGUAAUGGCUCACCAAGCCUUUUACCGGUGCGGGCCGUGGGAGCGGGAGCCCGGAGAUGGGCACUGAGACAAGGGCCCAGGCCCUACGGGGCGCAGCAGUCGCGAAAACUUUGCAAUAAGCGAAAGCUUGACAGGGCUAUCCCGAGUGCCAUCCGCUGAGGAAGGCUUUUACCCAGUCUAGAACGCUGGGGGAAUAAGGAGAGGGCAAGUCUGGUGUCAGCCGCCGCGGUAAUACCAGCUCUCCGAGUGGUGUGGAUGUUUAUUGGGCCUAAAGCAUCCGUAGCUGGCCAGGUUAGUCCCCUGUUAAAUCCACCGAAUUAAUCGUUGGAUUGCGGGGGAUACUGCUUGGCUAGGGGACGAGAGAGGCAGACGGUAUUUUCGGGGUAGGGGUGAAAUCCUAUAAUCCCGGGAAGACCACCAGUGGCGAAGGCUGUCUGCUAGAACGCGCCCGACGGUGAGGGAUGAAAGCUGGGGGAGCGAACCGGAUUAGAUACCCGGGUAGUCCCAGCUGUAAACGAUGCAGGCUAGGUGUUUGGACGGCCACGUGCCGUUCUAGUGCCGCAGGGAAGCUGUUAAGCCUGCCGCCUGGGGAGUACGAUCGCAAGAUUGAAACUUAAAGGAAUUGGCGGGGGAGCAC